AUGCGCUGCUCUGAGCUGCCGUGUGGAGAGGCACGCGGCAGGCACGUCUGGGCGACCGCAGCCCCACACCCUCGGAGAGUCCUCCCAGCAGCCAGGUGGACCCCCCCUCCCCCGACAGCCUUCCCACCAAACCGCAGCCCUGUGGACGCCUUGCCCCACCUCGCCCAGAGCCUGCGAGGUAGUGUGUGUUGUUUGCAGCUGCCACGUUUUGUGAUCACUUGUUGUGCAGAAAUGGAGAACAAACAUCCGUCACGAAGAAACAGCCGUGCUUCCCGGGCUUGGCCCUUGGCGUCUGGACGCUGCAGAGACCCUCUGAAGGUUCUCCAGCGACGCCAGCGGAGCUCGAGGGGGCCGCGCGGGGCCCUGCGCCCCCCCAGCGGGCCGGGCGGGGGUCGCUCCCGGAGCCUGACGUCGGAGCGCAGGAGGCCCCGCCCCCACGCCGCGCUCGCGCCCACGUGCCGGCCGGCGGCUGAGUCACGCCUGCGCGGAAGAGCCGCUCCCGCCUUUCCCGGGUCUCGUCGCGGGAGCGCCGCGAGCCUCCCGCGGCCGCUGCCUUCGUCUUUGUCCGGGAGCUCCCCCGAGCCCCUGCUCUCCCGGAGGUGCUUCUGGGGCCUCUCCUCCUGCCUCUCUGCCGGGCUGCAGGCCUCUGCGUCUCCGCUUCACCCAAGCGAGCCUGGUUUGGUAGCAGCGGGAGCGGCUCGUUCUCAGAUCCAAGAGGCUCUGCUGGGUUGAGGGUGUGACGCUGAGAGUGGUGGUUUUCCUUGGUUUUCCUUCGCAUUGUGUUGUCCCUUUGUGUACACAGUGGUCUUCCGUUGAGAACUCGUGAUAUGUGAUCGGCUGUAAUUUGGGGCAUAGGAUAGUAGGGUCCUGUAGGAAGCCCUGACGUGUUCUUCUUUCAGCAGGCUAGCUGCACCAGCACUUGAUCCUCAGUCACUUAAAUGCGGUUCCAGACAUGGAGAUGAAUUGCAGACGGAUUUUAUGGAGUCCCUUCCAGGACUGCUGUUUGUAUUCAUGCCUCCAGUGUAACCUUUCAGGGUUUCAACCGCAAGAUGCGACCACUUGGUAGCCCUAAGCCCAGGAGACUGUCAAAAUCUGGGCGUUCUCAUCGAGGCUCGGUGGUUAACGAAUCCGACUAGGAAUCAUGAGGUUGUGGGUUCGAUUCCUGGGCUUGCUCAGUGGCUUAAGGAUCCACUGUGAGCUGUGUGCAGGUUGCAGUCUCGGGUGGGAUCCCGAGUUGCUGUGGUUCUGGCGUAGGCCAGUGGCUACAGCUCUGAUGGGACCCCUAGCCUGGGAACCUCUGUGUGCCCCGGGAGGGGCCCUAGAAAAGGCAAAAAGACCAAAAACAAAAAAACCCUGUCAACAUCUGUUUUCAGGUUCUCAAGUCUUUCAGCUGUUCCUUGCAGAACUGAUUGGCCCGAGUGAAAAAUGACUAUAACUGUAAGGCUUACUUCUCUGGGCUUCCUUCUUUUCCUCCUGUUUGUUGGUUCCAUAAUAUUUCACUGUAAAAUGAGCCCUCUGAUGUCUUGACAUAGCUCGUUUUUUUGUUCUCUGUAUUUGUUAUGCAUAUUUGACUAUGUUUAAAGCUGCUCUCUAUGAGAGGCUGAUCUGAAGCGCCUGGAGCAAACUUGGGUUCACGGCUUUGUGCAGUGAAAACAAUCUGUUGAAAGCAGAUUGGGUUAAACCAAAGUGCGGUGUUUUCUGUGGGCACCAAGCAAGACGUCCAGGUAGCUAGUGUUCAAAAGACCCAAACUCCUUGAAGGCUUUAGGGGAAAGGUCUUUCAGAACACGGGUGAGUGAGGGGGUUUGGGGUGUGUGUGAGGUCAUUGGGAUGCAACAUCAUCAACCUUCUGGUUCCACCUGGUUUGGGGUCUGCACACUUGCAGGCAGUAUGAGAUUCAUUUCUUCCACCUGGCGUGGGUUUCAGUCUCUGCAAAACAGCUCAAAGAACAUGGGUCAGAAUAUUACCUACAGCCCUGGAGGAGGAACUAAAGUUCCUUGAUUUUUGUUUUAGGGCUAAGCUAUUUUGUCUUGCCUGACUAUCUUCAUUUAUUUUUGCAUUUUUCUCACUUAACUGAUUAAAUUUUUUGGAACUGGAAGUUCCGGUUGUGGCUCAGCAGUAGCAAACCGGACUAGUAUCCCUGAGGACUCAUCUUUGAUCCUUGGCCUCAUUUAGUGGGUUAAAGAUCCCACGUUGCUGUGAGCUUUGGUGCAGGUCUCAGAUGCGGGUUAGUUCUGGCGUUGCUGUGGCUGUGGUGUAGCUGGCCAGCUCUGAUUCGACCCUUCGCUCGGGAAUUCCACAUGCCUCAGAUGUGGCCCUAAAACAAACAAAAACAAACCUUUUUGGACCUAGAAGGCCAAGGAGGCUCAAGUUUUCUAUAUGGACAAGAGGCAGGUGGAGGCCAUUGGGUAGGGGCGUUGUGGGGUGGGAGUCUGUUGCAUUCCAGGAAGCUGCCAUAGAGUCCUGCUCAGUUGCAUGGCAAAUUACCAGAGCUAAAAAUAAAAGCAAAAAUUAAAAAAACUACAUCAACGCUUCUGUAUAUUUAAGCUUCUGGAUGAACUUUUUUUCCCUAGAUGGUCGUGAAGUCCUCCAGAGCAGCUGGAAAACGGAAUGGCUUUUCCUGGAGUCCGUAGCGUUGGACGUGCUUGCACACAUGGUUCAGAAACUCUACCCCCAAGUGUGUGCCUUAUAGACUCUCACGUGUGUGAACACAGGACCAGCAGGGGCUCUGGUAUAAUGCGGCCAGAUUAGAAACUGGCUGGCCUUAGAGAGUGGAACUAAAGAACCCUGCCUGGCUUUCCUAUCUCCCAUAUCGAGAACCUUCCCUUGAUAGCAUAACCCCGUCCACCUGUCUCCUCCACGUGGUCUGCAGCUUAAAUGUCCCCACAGGCCAAGUCUCUUUCUUCCCUUUCUCAGUGUUGGGACUAUGAAGAAAUCAACAACGGUGUAACCCCUCAGUUUCACUGGCAGUGGGUUGCCUCAGACCUCAGAUACCCCGCGAGGUCAGGCCCACCUCCGCCUUCAACCCUCACCCCAGGUGACCUCACCUGGACUUAACAGGUGUCUGCAUGCACCUCCGAUGCAUUGGGAACCCUGGCGCACAGGUGUAAUGCGGAGAUUGCACAAUCUUGCUCCCACUUUUAAGUGAAAGCAGUUAAAAAUCUACCUCUGGAGUUUCCCUCCUGGCUCAGCGGUGACAGUCCCCACUAGUAUCCAUGGGGAACGCAGGUUUAGGCCUCACUCUGUGGGUUUAAGGAUCCUGCGUUGCCCUGAGCUAUGGCAUGGCUGUGGUGUAGGCCGGCAGCUACAGCUCGGAUUCGACCCCUAGACCAGGAACUUCAAAUAUCCAUGGCUAGCGGCCCUAAAAAGACGGGGGGGGGGAAAUCUAUGUACAUUUUUAUCUUGUUCAACAUGAACCCCGGUGGAGCAACGGGCC
rnacentral:lncRNA from 9 species